rnacentral:rRNA from 1 species
UACGUAGAAGACUAGUGUUAUUCAUCUUUAGUAGGUUUAAAGGGUACCUAGACGGUAUAAUUAGUCUUAAAUAGGAUACGGUUAUACUAGAGUUAUAUAUGAGGAGGUGAGUAUUUAUGGAGUAGAGUUGAAAUUCUUUGAUACCAUAACGACUGAUAACGGCGAAAGCAACCUUUUAUCUAAUAACUGACGUUGAGGGACGAAAGGCUCGGGAUAACGA